CCGUCCUUGGGCAGGUGGGUUGGCCCUCCAGUGAUGGUACCCCAGGCAACUUCAUGAAACCCAGAUGGAUUUGGGGGUUUCUUCGGUUCCUUGUGGCUCCCAGAGCCAGAAGGGCUCAGCAGAGAGAGGCACGGGGGUGGGCGAGGGCCGUGCGUGUGUCCCCUCCCUGCCCACCCCGGAGAGGAGGACCGGGGUCCUUACGUCUGGCGUUAAUUUCGUGAUGGGAAACGAAGCAACAAAGGGAGGUGGCGCAGCGUGAGGAUGGUUUAACCUUGAUAAAACAGUGAUUUCACCAAGGAUGAUGUUCUCCCAUCUAUCUUCAUCCAUCAAGGCGCCGCUGAAAUAUGCUGAUGAAGCCUGUGGAUAGGAGUACAGUGCAGCUAAAUGGGGCGUUGCAAACACUCCCUGUACCCCCGUGACAAGGUGGCGUUACUUACCGGCCAAAUUUAGUACGGGGAGCAGCGUGGAUGCUGCCUCCUGCUCCGUGGGAGCUCUGCAGGUAAGGCGGUGGUUGUGUUGGCUCUGGGCGAGCAUCAGCUGGAGGGUCAGGUCUGAGAAGGAGUCAGGAAAUCCCAGGGCUCUGCUCUCUGUUUGGCUACCGGUUUUGCCUCGUG